rnacentral:tRNA from 1 species
GCCGAUAUGGGAUAAAGGUAUUCCAGUAGCUUGCUAAGCUAUCCAACAGAAAUGUUGUUCGUGUUCGAUUCACGAUGUCGGCA